AGGAUGAACGCUGGCGGCGUGCCUAAUACAUGCAAGUCGAGCGGUAAGGCCCCUUCGGGGGUACACGAGCGGCGGACGGCUGAGUAACACGUAGGAACGUACCCCAAAGUGAGGGAUAAGCACCAGAAAUGGUGUCUAAUACCGCAUGUGCUCUUCGGAGGAAAGCUUCGGCGCUUUGGGAACGGCCUGCGCAUGAUUAGCUUGUUGGUGAGGUAAUGGCUCACCAAGGCGACGAUCAUUAGCUGGUCUGAGAGGAUGAUCAGCCAGACUGGGACUGAGAACGGCCCAGACUCCUACGGGAGGCAGCAGUAGGGAAUUUUCCACAAUGGGCGAAAGCCUGAUGGAGCAACGCCGCGUGCAGGAUGAAUGCCUUCGGGUUGUAAACUGUCUUUAUAUGUGACGAAUAUGACGGUAGCAUAUGAAUAAGGAUCGGCUAACUCCGUGCCAGCAGCCGCGGU
rnacentral:rRNA from 1 species